UACAGGGGGUGCAAACGUUGCUCGGAAUCAUUGGGCGUAAAGCGCACGUAGGCGGUCUGUUAUGUCGGAUGUGAAAGCCCUUGGCUCAACUGAGGAAGUGCAUCCGAAACUGGCAGGCUAGAGUACUAAAGAGGAUCGCGGAAUUCCCGGUGUAGAGGUGAAAUUCGUAGAGAUCGGGAGGAACACCGGUGGCGAAGGCGGCCUUCUGGACGGUGACUGACGCUGAGGCGCGAAAGCGUGGGGAGCAAACGGG
rnacentral:rRNA from 1 species